UCUCGAUUGGUCUAGUGGUGAGGAUACCUGCUUGUCAUCAGCAUCUUAGUGUUCCCGAAAGUGGAACGCAGGAGCCGUUAAAUCAAGCCGCAGGUGGCCGGGGUUCGAUUCCCCGAUCGAGAG